ACUGUAAACAAGCGCUUCUUGGGAGGCAACCCAACCUCAAAAAAAAAAAAAAUCCUUUCUUUUGUCUUUUGUUAUAUGUUUUAAUUGUUGUUUUUAUUUAAGUCUUUGAAUAAUUAUUGUUGUGACCCCUUUCUUUUUGGUUAUGUUGUGUAGGUGCAGAAAAAUCAAGCAAGAAGCUAGUUCGUGUUCAAUUCGGUCGGACAUUCAUUUUGUUCAGCCUUGCUAAAAGGGGAGUAUUAGUCUUUCAUUUUUCUUUGCUUUCACAUUGAGGACAAUGUAAAAAUUAAGUUUGGGGGAGUGGAUAUUUGAUUAUGCUGAAUGCUGGUGCAGGUUAUGUUUGUUUGAGAAAGAAAUUUUUUUUAAAAUUCUGGUUUGUUCACUUUCAUGCAAGUUAAUUGGUGAUCAUAUCCAUGUCUUCCAAACUAAAUUUUUAUGUGAAAGAUUAGGAGAAAUGAACAAGCAUUUGCACUUGUGUGAGACUUAUCUAAGAUCAACAUUACACUUUUGGGUUCUUUAUUGUGUUUAAGCAUUGAAUUUUGAUUUAGGAUAGGCAAUAUCUUAUAAAGCAAGAGUAAGCAUAUUUGUUUUCCUUUGGGAUUAUUGAAGUACAUCUUUCCUUGCAAAGUUGUAUGAGUUGUGUGAUUAUGCAUAAAAGAUGAGCGUGAUGCUUUUCUUGUGAUUAUCCCCUUUGAUCUAGUGCUAAA
rnacentral:lncRNA from 1 species